rnacentral:rRNA from 1 species
UACGUAGGGAGCAAGCGUUAAUCGGAAUUACUGGGCGUAAAGGGCGCGUAGGCGGCCGAUCAAGUCAGAUGUGAAAGUCCUGGGCUUAACCUGGGGACUGCAUUUGAUACUGAUUGGCUUGAAUGCAGGAGAGGAUAGCGGAAUUCCCAGUGUAGAGGUGAAAUUCGUAGAUAUUGGGAAGAACACCGGUGGCGAAGGCGGCUAUCUGGACUGUGAUUGACGCUGAGGCGCGAAAGCGUGGGGAGCAAACAGG